GAUGAACGCUGGCGGCGUGCCUAAUACAUGCAAGUCGAGCGAACGGACGAGAAGCUUGCUUCUCUGAUGUUAGCGGCGGACGGGUGAGUAACACGUGGAUAACCUACCUAUAAGACUGGGAUAACUUCGGGAAACCGGAGCUAAUACCGGAUAAUAUUAUGAACCGCAUGGUUCAAAAGUGAAAGACGGUCUUGCUGUCACUUAUAGAUGGAUCCGCGCUGCAUUAGCUAGUUGGUAAGGUAACGGCUUACCAAGGCAACGAUGCAUAGCCGACCUGAGAGGGUGAUCGGCCACACUGGAACUGAGACACGGUCCAGACUCCUACGGGAGGCAGCAGUAGGGAAUCUUCCGCAAUGGGCGAAAGCCUGACGGAGCAACGCUGCGUGAGUGAUGAAGGUCUUCGGAUCGUAAAACUCUGUUAUUAGGGAAGAACAUAUGUGUAAGUAACUGUGCACAUCUUGACGGUACCUAAUCAGAAAGCCACGGCUAACUACGUG
rnacentral:rRNA from 1 species